AGACCGAAAAUUCAUAAUUUGGAAUAUCAUCAAACCCUAACCUGAAGUUCCAGCAGCAGUUGGGAUAAGCUAAUUAGACAAAGACAAUGGCGAGGAAGCGAAAACAGCCACCUCGUCCCGCCAAAUCGGCAGAGCGCGCUUUCAAACAGCCCCAGUUGAAUCUAGAAUCAGAGUAUAAAGAAGAUGAACAAUACGAAGAAGAAGAAGAAGAAAGCCGAGAAAUUGAAGAAGAAUUAGCACCAAGCAAUGAAACCUCGAAGCCCCCCUCCACUUCUUCAUCCUCUCCUAGCGACGACGAGGAGCCAAUCCAGAACCUUCUAGAAUCCCUCGGCAAGAAUGAGAUCGCCAAAUUUCUCAUCGAGGCCGCCUCCAAGCACCGCGACGUGGCGGACCGGAUACGCCGCACCGCCGACGCCGACCCCGCGCACCGCAAGAUCUUCGUACACGGCCUCGGCUGGGACACUACCGCCGAUACCCUCACUUCCGCGUUCUCCCCCUACGGCGACAUCGAGGACUGCAAGGCGGUCGUGGACAAGGCCACUGGCAAGUCCAAGGGGUACGGCUUCGUACUCUUCAAGACCCGUCGCGCUGCGCGCAAUGCCCUCCGCGAGCCGCAGAAAAGGAUCGGCAACCGCAUUGCCGCAUGCCAGCUGGCUUCCGUGGGCCCAGUCCAGUCCUCGCCGGCAACGAUUUCGACGGCGCCGGGGGCUUCGGAUUUCUCGCUGAGGAAGAUCUACGUGAGCAAUGUGAGUGCGGAAUUGGACCCGCAGAGGCUUCUGUCUUUUUUUGCGCAGUUUGGGGAGAUUGAGGAAGGACCUUUAGGGCUUGAUAAGGUAACUGGGAAACCGAAAGGGUUCUGUUUAUUUGUUUAUAAGGGUGUGGAGGGUGCAAAGCGGGCGUUGGAAGUGCCGCACAAGAAGUUUGAGGGGCAUAUUUUGCACUGCCAGAAGGCAAUUGAUGGUCAGAAGCAACAGCGAGUGGGGGUGGUGCAGGGUAGUUCUCAGAAUGGUGGGUAUGUUGGUAUGGGGGCAGUGCCAAUGCCGGGGCACUUGAUGGCUCCGGCGGGGCCAGCGGUAGGAGGAGGCGUUGCAGGGACGGCGGUGCAACCGGUUAAUCCGGCAGUUGGGCAGGCACUGACGGCAUUGCUGGCAUCUCGGAGUGCCGGGUUGCAAUUGAGUGGGUUCUUGGGUAUUGGGUCACCGGGGACGAACACUGGCGGUUAUGUCGGACAAGGCAGUGUGAAUCCCGGGGCUGUUGCUGUUGGUGGGUAUGGGAAUCAAGUAGCGUUGCCAAGUUCAUAUGCAAGCCAGCAGCAGGUGGGGAUAGGUGGAUCUGGAAGAGUGCAGCAGCCUCAUGGUGUGGGACAGUAUGGUGGCGUUGUGCCUUACAUGGGUCACUAGGUGUGCUUUCAGGUUUUCUGAUUCUGUGCAUUGUAAGGAAGGUCAAAAUAAAUCUCAGACAACUAGGAUUGAAAGUCUCAUGUGUUUGAAUCAUUAGGGUUGAGGAAAAUCUCACUUUUUAGUUGUACGGAUGGACUUCCACCACCUCAUUGAGCACAACAAAUGGAGAUUCUACUUAAGCAUCAAUCUUUUAUUACUCGCCUGGUGAUUCUUCUGAAGUUUAGGGAGCUGAUGCAAAUGCAAUUGGCGUCCUUAUAAUGAAAUAUUACUUCAAAGAUCAGAAUAUUUUAAUUACCAAAUGAAGUUCUGUUUUCACAGCGUACUUAUUUUUAUAUUUACUUCCAUUAUAAAAUAUUGUAGUAUUUCACUUUUAGUUCAAAAUUUCCUUGAAGAACUGUUUUACUACAAUGAGUUUUACUUUAUAUCUGUAUUAUGAGAAAUCCAUGUUAAAGCCAAUUAUGUUUUUGAAA